CUGCAGACUUUUCCAGCGAGGCCGAUCCUGCUGUGGUUCUGUCCUUUCCUGUUCUGUCUGCUAGAGAACCGAGGGGCAGUUUGAGGCCCGGCUGUGGUUGCACACGGCAGGGUUAUAGGUUCUCCCCUGACACGG
ensembl:snoRNA